ensembl:lncRNA
CCUGGGUUAGGCCCAAAUGAAUACACAGAAACUUGUAUUAGGUACAGUGCUGCUUGGCCAAUGACUAGGAUUCUCAUCUGCUAGCUCAGUCUUAACUAUCAUAAUAAACCUAUAUAUUUUAUAGGACUUAUCAGACGCCUUAUUGGUGUCCCUCCUUGCCGGUGGAUCACAUUGUGCCACUGGAGCAGGAACAGAGGGGAAAAGAGAGAUGCUUCUUGUUUCUCCUUCCUUAAAUGAAUCUCCUUGCUAUGUCACUUCCUGCCUGGAUCAUCACUUCUCUACUACAUUUCCCAGAAUCCUCUUUGACUCCUAGUCCUGUCUAACUUGCUGUCUCAUUGGCCAAACAGUAUUUUAUUUAACAAUCAAUAAGAUAAACAUACACAGUACAUUCCCCAUCACUAGGCAAAGGGAGUGCAAUCAACUUUCCAGUGUCCAGCAGCUUUGUCCACAGUCUCAGCCAGGUCCUGGCAGGCAGCAGGUAUCACAUCUGAGCAUCUCGCUCACUGGUCCAGGUGCAGGAACUGGGGUGCCUCAUAAUCUUCUUUGGAGACUUUGGGUCACUGUCAGGAUCUGGCAGUCUGUCUAAUAUUAUAAACUUUAAAGAUAACAAUUUAAAUUCUAUGUUCUGCAGGUCUCUGAAGCAUUAGAGGUCUGUCUGUCUGUUUUAGUUACUUGCCUUAAGCACACAAGAAGCAUACAGGUGGCUAGGUAAGGUCUUAUUUCUGUAAUUAAUUUUCAGCCUGACUGUAACUGAUUUUAACUUAGUAAAAUAUUUGAAACUUAGCACAGCUGAAUUUAAAACUGCAUAGAGUUACCUUAUAGUCCUUAAAAAGUAGUUACAUGUACACAUUUUAGCUGCUUGCUUAAAUGAGACAGGGUUUUUCUGUGGCUUUGGAGCCUGUCCUGGAAUUCGCUCUGUGGACCAGGCUAGCCUUGAACUCAUAACGAUCCACCUGCCUCCGCCUCCAGGUGGUGGGAUUAAAGGCAUGUGCCACCAACACCCUAAACUUAACUUCUGAAAACAUAAACUGUAACAUCUUAUAAUAGAUUAGCAGCUUUUAUAAAACAAGAACUUUACAUUGUCAGGCUUUGCUUAAAAAUGAUUCUAAAUUGAAGCUCUUUAAGUACAAACAUCAAUAAAAAGACAUUUUUUAAAAACAUAAACAUUUAAAAAACUGGUUUUAAAAAGAAAUUUAAAUUCCCUUAAUGUCUUUCUGUAAUAUAUAGAAGCAUUAACAUUUUAAAUCUUAACUGAAAAACUUGUUUCUAAGAUGGUACCUCUAAUUUCCAUGUGGACAUCUUUAGUCAAGAUGGAGGUUUAAGUAUUUUUUUUCAACUUUAGCAAAAUGGCUACCAGUCAUUUUGUGCCUUGUGGCUGGCUACAAAAUGUCGGUGACCCUCACCAUUUGUUUUAGCUACAUGCUUGUAACAGAAUUUAGGUUAUUCCAGGAAACAGAACAUUUUAAAACAAAUAUACAUAAUUUACUUGAGAAAUAAACAGGACUUUUUAAACAAUUAACUUAAUAUGGUUAAAAUUUUAACUUCUAUUACCAAUUUUUAAAAUUUACUAUUUGUAGACAUGAGAAACCAUAGCAAACAGUUUAUAUUUUUUUUUUCUUUUAGCAACCUUUUCUCUGACCUUCUACGACUUGCUUUAACCCUCUAUAACUUUCUAUAUACCUUUGGUUUAUUCCUCUGAUUUUCUUAGACAUUCUUGGACAAAUUUCUCUUUCCCUUUCUCUCUUUAUUACUUUAAUACAUUCUCUCUCAUUUCUCAGUCAACAUAAAAAUUCUUAUCAAAGUCCCUUUUAUAGUUUUUAAUAACUUUAAGGCCAUUUUUUAGAACUUGCAAAUCAGACCAGAUAGUUCACCUGCCUGAGCUCCAUGUGCUCCGGGAAGAGACCUGGGGGGGGGGUGCUGGUAACCCAGACCCUCUGCCAAUGCAGAGGUAGAAAAAAGACCCCCGUGGUUUCCCUGCAUACCAUGUGUGUGUGGAGCACAGAGAAGGCCGGGCAGCCAGGCAGAUGACAGCCUUGCAGCCAUGUGCCCAGAGCAGGGAAACUCCCGCCGCAAGCCAGGACCCACGGCAGGAUGGCAGUUGGGGCAGAGACAGCCCCACUUCACAUGCCUCACAGACCGGCAGGUGAAGAUAGAAAAGCAGACUCACCUACAUCGGCCAGGCUCAGCUGUAAGGGCCACAGCAAUGGUUGGAGUUCAGAGUAGCAGCCUCAGGGGAUUCCACCGCAGCACACUCUAACCCUAACCCGUGGCACAUGGCAGAGAAAGUCCUGUCCCGAACCAUGUGCUCAGGGAGGCAAGAAAAGAUCCCUGACUCAUGCAUACCAUGUGCAUGGGCAGUAGGGACAGAAAGAGAUGUUUAACACAGACUAGGGCCCUAUUCGGAAUUUCAGAUGGCUAGCCCCAUGGAGAUCAACUUGGUCCGAAACCAAGUCUCCCCUACAAAUUUCGGAAGGCUGCUGCCCGAACCUCCGCCCUAAACAAUUCUUGUAGGCCUACUUACAGAUGUCGCUAGAAACCCUAACAUAGGACCUUUACAUUUACAAAAUUAACAGAAAUAGAAGACCCGAAAACAUAAAACUGACACACUACCGAAAAGCAGGCAGUGAGGGUGUGGACUGCAACACACCAGAUAACACAGAUAACAAACCUACUCAGUCACCCAGCCCGUUCCAACCCUCCAGGAAUCACAGAAACCGUACAGAAACAAAGACUGGAAAAGAAAGUUACCUAGUGUGGCACCAUGUGACUCAAUGAAAGAGGGUGUCGUGGUGGAUCCUGAAUUGAAAACCAACAAUGAAAACACAGGGACAGAAUAGACAGAAAAGAACAGACACCAACCCAAUCCGUCCGUGCCGCUUAUAAGGCAAUGGCACCGGGAAGACAGGCGGCAGAGCCAGGCGGCUACAAUCGCCACUAACUGAGGAGGGUCCAAGUGUCCUUGGCCUCCGUUCGUACCUCCUGGGUGUCCUCAGGGCAGCAGUCUGUGAUCCUCCGGGCACAUCUGCCGAUCACAGUUGAGGUGGAAUCCAGGGAUGGGGUGGUUAGUAUGGAGACAGACACAAACAGCAAAAACAGGACAGACAUCAGACAGGACAAACCGCGUGGCAGAGGAACGGUGCCCAAAACCAAAAUUACAAACAACCCUUGGACUUUCGUC